rnacentral:lncRNA from 1 species
AAAUUUGCCACCAACUUUCCAAUUGCACAAAACAAGAUCUGGCUAGCAUAUCAAAGUGUCACAAGUCAAGAAAAACAACAAGAGCACUGAGCGGGUAAUAAUCAACAUGUGUUGAGGGAUUUUGGUGAAACACAAAGGCUUGGUAGAUGUCGGGUCAUGACCAAUGCAAUAGAUAAAGGGUAUUGGGUUGAGCGAAGAAUAGAUAUUUUCUGUGACAAGGGCACAACGAAAGGAGUAAUAGACCUCAAGGUCAGGGGCCAGGGGGCUCAAUUUAAAUGAACGGCAGACUGUGGGUAACAAUCAACAUGCUUUGAGGUUUUCAUAAGGCACGAGGGUUGGUAAAGCAGUGCAACAAAUAGAAGAGGUAUUGCUCGGUGCCAAGAAUGGCAAAGGAAGUGGUUAGGCAAGAAAAAAGGUGGGUCUUCAAAUAAAA